rnacentral:rRNA from 1 species
CUGAACCAGCCAAGUAGCGUGAAGGAUGAAGGAUCUAUGGUUCGUAAACUUCUUUUAUAAGGGAAUAAAGUGUGGUACGUGUACCAUUUUGUAUGUACCUUAUGAAUAAGGAUCGGCUAACUCCGUGCCAGCAGCCGCGGUAAUACGGAGGAUCCGAGCGUUAUCCGGAUUUAUUGGGUUUAAAGGGUGCGUAGGUGGCUUUUUAAGUCAGUUGUGAAAGUUUGCGGA